rnacentral:rRNA from 1 species
CGGCGUGGAUUAGGCAUGCAAGUCGAACGGUAGAGAGAUUUCGGUCUCUUGAGAGUGGCGAACGGGUGAGUAACACGUAGGUUAUCUACCCUCAAAUUGGGGACAACCCAGGGAAACUUGGGCUAAUACCGAAUGAGUGCGGUUUUCGGACUGCAUAAAAGGUGGCAGUAAUGCUGUUGUUUGAGGAUGAGCCUGCGCUCUAUUAGUUAGUUGGUGAGGUAACGGCUUACCAAGGCGAUGAUAGAUAGGCGGCCUUAACGGGUGGUCGCCCACACUGGGAUUGAGAUACGGCCCAGACUCCUACGGGAGGCAGCAGUCGAGAAUAGUCUACAAUGGACGAAAGUCUGAUAGUGCGACGCCGCGUGAACGAAGAAUCCCUUCGGGGUGUAAAGUUCUUUUAUAUGUGAGCAAUGCCUUAUAUGUGAAUAGCAUGUAGGGAGAGAUAUUAGCAUAUGAAUAAGCAACGGCUAACUCCGUGCCAGCAGCCGCGGUAACACGGGGGUUGCUAGCGUUGUCCGGAAUUACUAGGCGUAAAGGGCAGGUAGGCGGAUAGAUAAGUUUGAUGUUAAAGGCGACGGCUUACCCGUCGUAAGGCAUUAGAUACUGUUUAUCUGGAAUACGGUUGGGGAAGACAGAAUUCCUGGUGUAGCGGUGGAAUGCGCAGAGAUCAGGAGGAAUACCAAAAGCGAAGGCAGUCUUCUAAGCCGUUAUUGACGCUAAACUGCGAAGGUGUGGGUAUCAAACAGGAUUAGAUACCCUGGUAGUCCACACAGUAAACGAU